UACGGAGGAUGCAAGCGUUAUCCGGAAUGAUUGGGCGUAAAGCGUCCGCAGGUGGCUGUGUAAGUCUGCUGUUAAAGAGUGAGGCUCAACCUCAUAAAGCAGUGGAAACUACACGGCUAGAGUGCGUUCGGGGCAGAGGGAAUUCCUGGAUGUAGCGGUGAAAUGCGUAGAGAUCGGGAGGAACACCAGAGGCGAAGGCGGCGACCUGGACAAGUACUGACACAUCAACUACGGAAAGCGAUGGGGAGCAAACACGG
rnacentral:rRNA from 1 species